rnacentral:lncRNA from 1 species
AAAAAAAGUGUUUCCAGAUUAUUCCCCAGGUACGAUUUUUUUGUGCAACACUACCCUCGCCCAUACUGAAUUCGCCCUAGGCUACAAGCUAUUAGGCUGAGCUUCUACGGUGGUUGCCGGACGAACGGGCAACUAAAACGCCAAACUCAACUGGGAAACAAAAUCAUUCGAGAUUCAAGCCACGUAUGAGAGUAUUUGAGCUGCAACUGGGUCGAUACUUUUUAACGAGCCAACAGCAGCCAACGCGGGUGCAAGAGAAUCACCUCUACUCUUCAAAACAAUCAAAGGAAGAGGAGGAAAAGAAAUUGGUGCAUAUACUGAAGCUAUAGAAAAUCUUCCUGCGUGUAAAAAUCUUUCCAUCUUAUGCUUGUCUGAGUUAAAAUUGUCGGACGCAAAAGUUGGCCUGUAAUUUUUUUUUCAGAAUUUAAAGUGGUCAAGUAUGAAUGAUGGUAGAUAUAAAAAACAUAUAACAGAGAUAAGUGAUACCUUGUGAUAAACUGUCGGAAGCCAACAUGAAAGAUUAGUUCUUCUUUGGCUUUUAUGGGAUCAGUGUCUCUCUCUCUUACAGAUAAAUGAAUAAGGAAACCUUUGGUGGAUGUUUUGUGGAGGUUGCGGGAGGAUUUGGAAGCGAAACGAGUCUUGUGCGACUUGUUAACUUGAGAUCGAGAACCACCCGCCAUUGUUGUUGCUGGAGGUGAAGAAGAGAAUAAACCCUAACUGGGAUUUAAGACGAAGAACGUUAUGUUAUGUUUGUGUUUUUUGUGAAAUGUUUGUGUAAUGUAAUGGGCUGGGCUACGACCCACUGGAUCAAUUAGCUUAGCCCGUAUAAAGUUACCUAUCUAUUGGUGUGACCCGAUCCAUUAAUUCUCUUU